UCGGCAGCAUCAUAAUGUUCCUCCCACUAUGGAUUGUAGGACUGGGAUUGCUGACUACCUUCGGCAAUAACCAAAGCAAUAACUUGGAUGCAGAAACUAAAUCAUUACAAACAUCCAUUAAAUACAAUACAACAGAGAGCUCAUCCUCACCAAGCUUCCAUCGAAUGGAGCUUCUAUCAUCAGCUGAAACAAAAGGCCUAUUGAACUGGUUGGCCUUGGCAACAUUCCUU
rnacentral:misc_RNA from 1 species